AUGCCUUAAAUUGAUGAGUAAGGGAAAAACAACAUGGGAUAAUUCCUAUGUGCAUGUAUACUUGGCAAGAUGAUUUUUUUUUGAGAGGGUAUAGGUGUCUGUAGACAGGCACUCACCUAUCUUGUGAAAGGUUUUCUAUGAGCAGGGUUUGCCCU